rnacentral:rRNA from 1 species
GACGAACGCUGGCGGCGUGCCUAAUACAUGCAAGUCGAACGCAGUGGGGCCGGGUGAUUAACACGUGGGUAACCUCCCCUCAGAGGGGGUACCACUUGGAAACAGGUGCUAAACCGGUAUUGAUGGAUGGACCCGCGGGGCAUUAGCUAGUUGGUGAGGUAACGGCGCACCAAGGCCACGAUGCAUAGCCGACCGGAGAGGGUGAUGGGCCACACGGGGACGGAGACACGGCCAAGACUCCUACGGGAGGCAGCAGUAGGGAAUCUUCGGCAAUGGACGAAAGUCUGACCGAGCAACGCGGCGGGAGGGAAGAAGGUUUUCGGAUCGUAAAACUCUGUGGUUAGAGAAGCGGUAUCUAACCAGAAAGCCACGGCUAACUACGUGCCAGCAGCCGCGGUAAUAC